rnacentral:rRNA from 1 species
CAAGACCUCGGCAUACUGCUCAGUAACACGUGGACAAUCUAACCUAUGGAGAGGGAUAAUCCCGGGAAACUGGGGCUAAUACCUCAUAGACUAUGAAUGCUGGAAUGCUUCGUAGUUCAAAGGUCCGCCGCCAUAGGAUGGGUCUGCGGCCGAUUAGGUAGUUGUUGGGGUAACGGCCCAACAAGCCUGUAAUCGGUACGGGUUGUGGGAGCAAGAGCCCGGAGAUGGAUUCUGAGACACGAAUCCAGGCCCUACGGGGCGCAGCAGGCGCGAAAACUUUACAAUGCGGGAAACCGUGAUAAGGGAACUCCGAGUGCCCGUUAAAUCGGGCUGUCCAUCAGUUUAAAAAACUGGUGAAGAAAGGGCCGGGCAAGACCGGUGCCAGCCGCCGCGGUAAUACCGGCGGCUCGAGUGGUGGCCACUAUUACUGGGCUUAAAGCGUUCGUAGCUGGUUUGUUAAGUCUCUGGGGAAAUCUUCCGGCUUAACCGGAAGGCGUCUCAGGGAUACUGGCAGACUAGGGACCGGAAGAGGUGAGGGGUACUCCAGGGGUAGGAGUGAAAUCCUGUAAUCCUUGGGGGACCACCUGUGGCGAAGGCGCCUCACCAGGACGGCUCCGACAGUGAGGGACGAAAGCUGGGGGAGCAAACCGGAUUAGAUACCCGGGUAGUCCCAGCCGUAAACGAUGUGCGUUAGGUGUAUCGGUGACCACGAGUCACCGAGGUGCCGAAGAGAAAUCGUGAAACGUACCGCCUGGGAAGUACGGUCGCAA